rnacentral:rRNA from 1 species
CGGGGGGGGCAAGCGUUGUUCGGAAUUACUGGGCGUAAAGGGUUCGUAGGUGGCCAACUAAGUCAGACGUGAAAUCCCUCGGCUCAACCGGGGAACUGCGUCUGAUACUGGUUGGCUUGAGUGCAGGAGAGGAACGCGGAAUUCCAGGUGUAGCGGUGAAAUGCGUAGAUAUCUGGAGGAACACCGGUGGCGAAGGCGGCGUUCUGGACUGCAACUGACACUGAGGAACGAAAGCCAGGGGAGCAAACGGGA